GAUCUGUAGCUCAGCUGGAUAGAGCAACGGACUUCUAAUCCGUAGGUCGGGGGUUCGAAUCCCUCCAGGU
rnacentral:tRNA from 1 species